UGGGGAAUAUUGCACAAUGGGCGCAAGCCUGAUGCAGCCAUGCCGCGUGUGUGAAGAAGGCCUUCGGGUUGUAAAGCACUUUCAGCGAGGAGGAAGGUGGUGAACUUAAUACGUUCAUCAAUUGACGUUACUCGCAGAAGAAGCACCGGCUAACUCCGUGCCAGCAGCCGCGGUAAUACGGAGGGUGCAAGCGUUAAUCGGAAUUACUGGGCGUAAAGCGCACGCAGGCGGUUUGUUAAGUCAGAUGUGAAAUCCCCGGGCUCAACCUGGGAACUGCAUUUGAAACUGGCAAGCUAGAGUCUCGUAGAGGGGGGCUAGAAUUCCAGGUGUAGCGGUGAAAUGCGUAGAGAUCUGGAGGAAUACCGGUGGCGAAGGCGGCCCCCCUGGACGAAGACUGACGCUCAGGUGCGAAAGCGUGGGGCAGCAAACAGGAUUAGAUACCCUGGUAGUCCACGCUGUAAACGAUGUCGAUUUGGAGGUUGUGCCCCUUGAGGCGUGGCUUCCGGAGCUAACGCGUUAAAUCGACCGCCUGGGGAGUACGGCCGCAAGGUUAAAACUCAAAGGAAUUGAC
rnacentral:rRNA from 1 species